CAUUUAUGGAGGCUGCUGAGUCUGAAUGUUGGAUGUUGUGUAUCUCGUGUUCUCUGGGUUUUGUUGUCCUCAGUCUUUUCGCAGGAUCAGAAAACAAAACCAGGAGGCGCGUAAAUGUUUCUUCUCCAUGAUGUUUCUUCAAAUGUUUCUUCUGGAUGAUGAUAAGACUAUGACACAGGAUGCCACCUUUGGUCUUAUGGUGAAGCAAAGCUCAGGAAGAAGUGGGAUUAAAUGGUACCCACAUGUGUGCUGCUGAGAAGGAUGUACAGGGGCACCUGCAGCCAAAUCCAAGCCUCAGAGCGGCAGUUUGUGCUCACAGAUGGUGACGGUGUGGAGAGACGGUGGUGUUUCCUCAGAAGAACCAGCAGAGUCACUCGCUGACUGAUGCUCAUCUGCACUGCACAGAGGAAAUCAACUGACCGAGGAGUGUUUCUGAGUGAGGGGGAGAGGAGUCAUCAUCCAGGUAAAGUGACGUAGAUCAGUGGAUACACUUGUCUCCCCUUUAAAGGAGACGAUCCAAGUCAUCCUUAAAUGUUAGUGCUUUCAAAUACACAAACAUUUUUAAAGGACAAAAAUGAACAUCCAACUUUGACUGUAACACAAAAUAAAUCUUUGCAUGUGUGUUUUCAAACUCUCAGAUGGGCAGCAUAUCAGUCUUGGACUGUCUAAC